UACGUAGGGUGCAAGCGUUUGUCCGGAAUUAUUGGGCGUAAAGAGCUCGUAGGCGGUCUGUCGCGUCGGAUGUGAAAACCCAGGGCUCAACCCUGGGCCUGCAUUCGAUACGGGCAGACUAGAGUUCGGUAGGGGAGACUGGAAUUCCUGGUGUAGCGGUGAAAUGCGCAGAUAUCAGGAGGAACACCGGUGGCGAAGGCGGGUCUCUGGGCCGAAACUGACGCUGAGGAGCGAAAGCUAGGGGAGCAAACGGG
rnacentral:rRNA from 1 species